AUCCAUUAGCAAUAAGCACCUCUUGUGCCCAGAUUGAACCAUCUAAAUAAGAUUUUCUAGUAAAAAGAACCAGGUAUUUUUGGAGAAAUGGAUGUUCUAGGUCUGAAGGCAGGCAACAGACAAGAGGAGCCUGGAUUUCUUGUCAUACCAGAUUGCAAGGAAGUUAUCAAAGACUAUUGGACUUGUGUCAAAAUUUCUCAGGAGCCAACUUGAAGAGCUUCCCACUGGCCAAAGAGCCAUUUGAGCAUCAGAAAAGCUAAAAAUCACAAUGAAUUAGAAUAGAUAUGUUAAAACCCUGAAUUUAUAAACAUACUAGAAAAAAGCUAAUUAGUCAUCUUUGGAGGAUGCUGGAAGACCAACUCAUUAUCCUGAAUUAUUCAUAAGUAGAGGGAAAAGGUUAAGAAUUUAUCCUUUCUUUCAUGUGAGAACUCUACUCAGGGUAACCAAAUAGUUAAUGAGAAAAAUUUUCGCCCUAUAGGAGUAUUCUAGCUAACAAGGAAGAAUGAUAGAAUUGGGAUAGCACUAUUUUGCAACUCCUAAUUGAAAUAAUGGAUCGAGGCGACGAGCAUCAAUGGCUGCUAACAUCAUUAAAAAAGAGACAAGCAGACAUCCUAUGCCUCCUGAUGGAUGCACAUAACACCACCUAUCAAGUAUUCUUGUAAAAAAGAUUAAAUCUGAAUCAAGCUAAGCUUCUAGAUCGAACAUCAAUUGACAUAGGAAGUUGAGCAGACAAAACUUAAACAACCAUGAGAAGGCAAUGAGCCAAAUCGAAGAUCUUCGUCCUUGGCUGGGGCCAGAGUCUUCCAGCUUCUGGCAGGAGUUUCUAGAGCCCCUCAACCUGCAGAGAACUGACACCAAAGCUUUCCACAGCUGUAAGAGAGUCGGAGGAAGUGCCUUUGCACAAAACUGCUUGGAAAUGGGGCCAGCAGCUAGAUAAAGAACUGCAAAAGCAGAAAAUGGCCCAGGGUAUUUUUAAAACUCUUACAAAUAGGAGCAAGCCCAAAUUUGACAUUGGCUGGCUGUUUCAUGUGGCUUUCUCUUUCACCCACCUUCGCUUCAAAGGGAUAGUUUUUUUUUCCUCUCUCUGCCGAAAUACGUGGGCUCAGGUAGCAACGACUCAGCUCCAACAAACGGCGCAAGUUAACACUUGUGAGAGCUGCACUCAAGUAGCAAAGGAAGCUGAAGUUGAAGUAAAACCACACCUCCUUCCCCGCAGGUGACAAAGAUAACCUUCCCCGGUCUGGCUUUUUCCCUCCAGCAACAAGCAGGCUGAGGUGAAGGGCAACUGGGCAGGAAGGAGAGAGUGGAACUGGAGGUCAUCCCGUCUUCCCUACUGCCCUCUCUCCCUGCCUCUCCACUUUCCAUCUCCACCCAGAGCUGACCCAGUGCGGCCAUGUGAGGGGAACUGGCGGCACCAUGUUCUCGCUCUAAAACGUCUUCCCCGGCACCUUAUACCUCUGUUCUUUCUUUUUUCAAAAUAGUUCUUAGUAAGGGUUUGAUAAACUGCAUUUACCCUAUGGUGUAGAAGAUACCAUAGAAUCAUCCAUACUAUAGGUAAUUAAUGCACUUUUAUGUAUCCUCCUUUCUGGGGAUAGUCUUACUCUUAAGCCAAAUUAGUGGGGCAUUUCAGGCAUCAGUAAUUCUAGAAUGGGAGAAAGUGAACAUAGAGGGUAUGCUUUGGAUUCUAAAAUCAUAUCAUGAAAACACUAAUUCGAAAAGACAUAUGCACCUCCUAUGUUCAUUGCAGGAUUAUUCACAAUAGCCAAGACUUGGAACCAAUCUAAGUGCCCAUCAAAGGAUGAAUGCAUAAAGAGGAUGUGGUAUAUAUAUAUAUAUAUGUAUAUAUAUAAAUAUAUGUAUAUACAAAAUGGAAUCCUACUCAGCCAUAAAAAAUGCCAAAUCGUGUAAUUUCUAAGAACAUGGAUGGACCUUGAGGGUAUUAUGCUAAGCGGAAUAAGUCAGACAGAGAAAGACAAAUACCAUAUGAUCUCACUCAUCUGUGGAAGAUAAACAAACAAACACUUAGAUUUGGAGAACAGAGAGAAAGGGGGUGGCGGAGGGCAAAAGGAGUAAAGGAGCACAUACGUAUGGUGAUGAAUGGAAACUAGACUAUUGGUGGUGAACACAUGCAGUCUAUAUAGAAGCUGCCAUAUAAUGAUGUACACCUGAAAUUUACACAAUGUUAUAAACCAAUGUGACCUCAAUAAUUUAAAAAAUAAAAUCAUAUCACAUGAGUAGCUACCUACUCAUAUAUGUAAAAAGACAGCAGUCUACACCCCUAAACACACUUAAAACACACAUCAAACACUCACUAUUAAGUGACCUGUGUUCCUACAGUCCUCUGCAGAAAAGCAAAGGACCUUUGUUUUGAGUGAAACUUGUGAUUAUGUGCAAUGAUCAAGGCCCAGGC
ensembl:lncRNA